ACUAACUAUUAACCAUUAAUAUUUAAUUCUUGCUCUUUACAUUUAUGCAAUUUACUAUUCUUGUACAUAUUAUUCUUGUACUAUAGUUUCUGACUUUUAAAAAUGCUGAAAUUUUUUGUCAAACUUUGUUUGACUUUGUUGAACUUGGGAUAAUUCACUUGGACUUUUCAAAGUUGAUUUGAAGUGAGUUUGAAGUUUGACCUUUCUUUAUUAUUUUAAUUCAAGUUUUAUUCUAAUAUUAAAAAAUGCCAAAAAUAUUUUAUUUGUUUCUUGACUUCUAAUCUUCAUUUUGCUUCUGUUUUCUAUUUGUUUUGACCUUGAUCUUCUCUAUCUUUGGUCAAUGCUUGUUGAUUAGUACAUACCAUUUCCAUUAAUGCACUUUAAUUCUUCAUCUUCUUCUUCUUCUUCUUUCUUUUUUUUCUUUUUGAUCAAUGAGUUAGAGAUUGGUGGUUAGCAUUGAUACAUGGAGGUUUAAUUUUCCUUGAUUCAAAUCUAAUUCAUCUUGAUCAUGGAUCAUGUGAAUGGUUUUGCAUUAAGGAUAAAUUGCUUCCUAAAUCAUGCAAAGAACCUAAAUCAAUACAAGAUCAUUUCUCAUCUUCUUUUUGGCAUGGCAAGUUGUUGGAGUUUGAUUCACUAAUCAAGACCUCUAACUUGUGUUGUUGCCUACAUUAUUAUUGACCGGCCUCAGAUAGUUGUGACUUCUACAUAAGUCCAAUUACGAUUGCUUAACAUAGUGCUAAAUUUUCCUUAUGACACACUAACUAUUAACCAUUAACAUUUAAUUCUUGCUCUUUACAUUUAUGCAAUUUACUAUUCUUGUACAUAUUAUUCAUUUGCUUUUCCCCCUUUGCUCACUUGAGCACAUGUUUAUGUUAAUGCAAUUUGUCUUUUGCUCACUUGAGCACAUAAUUGUGUAUAUAUUACUAUGCUUGUGUUUUGUUUUGAUU
rnacentral:lncRNA from 1 species